GACGAACGCUGGCGGCGUGCCUAAUACAUGCAAGUAGAACGCACAGUUUAUACCGUAGCUUGCUACACCAUAGACGCUGAGUUGCGAACGGGUGAUUAACGCGUAGGUAACCUGCCUGGUAUCGGUGGAUAACUAUUGGAAACGAUAGCUAAUACCGCAUAAUAUUGAUUAUUCCAUGAUAAUUGAUUGAAAUAUUCUAUUGCAUCACUACCAGAUGGACCUGCGUUGUAUUAGCUAGUAUGAGAGGUAACGGCUCACCUAGGCGAAGAUACAUAUCCGAACUGAGAGGGUGAUCGGCCAAAAUGGGAAUGGGACAACGCCCAGACUCCCAAGGGGGGCAGCAGGAAGGGAUCUUCCGGAAUGGAGGAAAGUCUGACCGAGGCAACCCGCGUGAGUGAAGAAGGUUUUCGGAUCGUAAAGCUCUGUUGUAAGAGAAGGACGGGUGUGAGAGUGGACAGUUCACACUGUGACGGUAUCUUACCAGAAAGGGACGGCUAACUACGUG
rnacentral:rRNA from 1 species